AUUGAACGCUGGCGGCAGGCCUAACACAUGCAAGUCGAACGAGAGGCGGACGGGUGAGUAAUGUCUGGGAAACUGCCUGAUGGAGGGGGAUAACUACUGGACACGGUAGCUAAUACCGCAUACAAUCAGCUGUGACCAGCUGGGAUUGGCUAGUAGGUGGGGUAAAGGCUCACCUAGGCGACGAUCCCUAGCUGGUCUGAGAGGAUGACCAGCCACACUGGAACUGAGACACGGUCCAGACUCCUACGGGAGGCAGCAGUGGGGAAUAUUGCACAAUGGGCGCAAGCCUGAUGCAGCCAUGCCGCGUGUAUGAAGAAGGCCUUCGGGUUGUAAAGUACUUUCAGCGGGGAGGCGUUACCCGCAGAAGAAGCACCGGCUAACUCCGUGCCAGCAGCCGCGGUAAUUC
rnacentral:rRNA from 1 species